GGAUUAGAUACCCUGGUAGUCCACGCCGUAAACGAUGUUUGCUAGUUGUCAGGCCCUCAGGGUUUGGUGACGGAGAGAAAUCAUUAAGCAAACCGCCUGGGGAGUACGGCCGCAAGGUUAAAACUCAAAGGAAUUGACGGGGACCCGCACAAGCGGUGGAGCAUGUUGUUUAAUUCGAAGCAACGCGAAGAACCUUACCCACUCUUGACAUCCUCCUUGGGACUUGGAGAGAUCCUUGUCUUCGGUUCGGCCGGGGGAGUGACAGGUGCUGCAUGGCUGUCGUCAGCUCGUGCCG
rnacentral:rRNA from 1 species